ensembl:lincRNA
CAUAAUCGUUCUUUCUCCUUCCUUCAUCUGUAUUUCCCUCUCCUUCCCUCCCUCUCCUUUUUCCUUCCUUCAAAGUGGGAUAUUCUUUAAACUACGUCCUGGUGGUGUUCUGGGUGAUAAAGAACAGCUUUAUACCUACGAAGUAUUUGUUGUUAUGAAAGUUGAGUUCUAAAUUAAUAAGGCAUUGAGUUCAGAACUUUUACAUGUAAUUCCAUUUUAAUAAUACAAUGACUUAUUUUUACCAGUAGGGAAAUGGAUUCCAAGUUAUAUGGUUAUGUAAUUUGUCUAAGAUCAGAGCAAAGGCAGAGACAGGGUUCUGACUUAAGUGCAUGUGACCCGGAAGCCUGUUUUUGUAGCAGAAGAUAUCAAACUAAGCACUUAAGUGCUGUGAAGAAAAAUAGAGCAAGGUAUAUGGGAUCCAGAGUGAUGGGCCCCAGAAAGUUCUAGAUUCAGAGGUAGAGAUCUGAAUCAGGCCGUGCAGAACGCUAAGGGAGCAGCAUGUGUGGCAGGAGGAUGCUGGAAGGGUCUGAGGCUCACAGGAAGGGCAGUGCAAGGGAGGAGAGGAGGCCACAAGGACAGGCAGACGCCUGAUGGUGGAGCACGUUAUGGACCAUAGCAAGAACUUGGGAUUUAGAUGAUACUCGUCACUCUGCUCUAGUCCUAAAAUGCAGUUCUUUCUGUUCAGGGUUCAGAGGGUUGAGAAGGAAUGAAUCAGAGAUAGGAGAGCACAGGGAGUGGAUAAAACAGAUGAGAUAACAAUGCUCAGGCUCUGGCCAAAGGCACAUCCCACAAGUGUAACCACACCCUGCUUGGAUUUCUUUUCUGUCUUUGAACUGGAGUUGAGCAGAAUGGGAGUGUAAGAACUGUGUUCUGAUCUCUUUCCCGUCUGCGCCUGGGCAGAGAAAAAGGAAGAUCGGCGCAAGUAGGUGUGAGCUCAGAAAAGAAUUAUGCAGCUGAUACUCUGUUUAAAAGGAAUUCCAGUGUUCACCCCCACUCCAAAAUAUCAAUGGGCAUUUGUGCCAACACACAGGCUGACAUUGCAGUGUUAUACUGAUUGGCUUUCUAUUUUAUCAGGAAACAUUUGUAUAGCUUGCAUAACUCAAAGACAACAGCACUGUGUUAAACCUCACAGCAGAGGACAGUUUUCGUUUUUGCCAACUUGAUAUCCGUGAACUUCCUCCAUGAACAGUAACUCACAUUUCUUGUUGGAGACCAUUUCCCCUGCUCCUCUCUCAGUUCUUACAGUGAAAGUCAUAACAUCAGGGACCAAUUCUCAGCCUUGUUUGUUGGAUUCUGAGGUGCUUUCCUCCCCCCCUGCUGAUUGCACUUGAACCCCCAAGUCUAUUCAGCCUCAUCCUGAACUUCAGGACCAAUAUUGAGGAGAGGGAACAGUAACCUAAACUGUCCUGUGAUACAUCAUCAUGAUUUUCCUCCUAAACUGGUUUCUGACCUUGUGCCUCAGUUCUGUUAAUAGGCCAUCCCCUUGCUAUGUGGGGCCUGUGCCACUGUAUGUAACUUGUCCCUGAAAAUCUGAUGCUUUGCCUUAUUCUGGCUUGGAUCUAGAAAUACAGAUUAUGAAUACGUUAAUUGACCUCACGGGUACUGCUGACAUGACUUACUUGCCUUUCUGGGAACUCCUGGAGGACCGCCCUCCAGUCGUUUGGCACCUCAUGGUAAGAAGCACUCCUAUGUCCCUGUAAAGGCCACCUGAGGGACGCUUUCCUGGGCUACCCCUUAUUGUCUGCUGCAGUGUUGCAGAUACCGAGUGGUGUUCUCUCACUGGAUCUCGUCCCAGCAUCUGCGGCGGAGUCGGUUCCAAAUGCCUGUCCCUCUCCCAAGGAUGAGUCUAUCGCCAGAUCUGCGCCUCGCCUUCAUUACUCUGCUGUUAAUCGGACCACAUCUGGUAGAUUCUCAAGAUACAUGAAACUUUUUUUUUUUUCUUUCUCUAUGUUCAGUACAGUAUUUUGCUCAGGAAAUAGUUGUUAAACAAGCAUGCCCAUUUGAAAAUUUGCACUGCUUGUCACAGUUGUCAUUUUGUUUGAGGAGUCACAAAAGGAAAACUUGUACCUUGAUAACUGUUUUAAGUGAGAAAAAUUUGGAAAGAAUGAAUCUGCUUUUUUAAGACUUAUUAUGAAAUAAAAUGUCAAAGGAUGUUUAUUAACU